rnacentral:rRNA from 1 species
UACGUAGGUGGCAAGCGUUGUCCGGAUUUAUUGGGCGUAAAGCGCGCGCAGGCGGUCCUUUAAGUCUGAUGUGAAAGCCCACGGCUCAACCGUGGAUGGUCAUUGGAAACUGGGGGACUUGAGUGCAGAAGAGGAAAGCGGAAUUCCACGUGUAGCGGUGAAAUGCGUAGAGAUGUGGAGGAACACCAGUGGCGAAGGCGGCUUUCUGGUCUGUAACUGACGCUGAGGCGCGAAAGCGUGGGGAGCAAACAGG